UACGUAGGUGGCAAGCGUUUGUCCGGAUUUAUUGGGUUUAAAGGGUGCGUAGGCGGUCUAUUAAGUCUAGCGGUGAAAUACUCCAGCUUAACUGGAGGGGUCCAUUGAUACUGAUGGACUUGAGUCAAGGUCGAGGUAGGCGGAAUUGACGGUGUAGCGGUGAAAUGCUUAGAUAUCGAUCAAGAACACCAAUAGUGAAGACAGCUUACUGGGCUUAAACUGACGCUGGAGGCAACGAAAGUGUGGGGAUCAAACAGGA
rnacentral:rRNA from 1 species